rnacentral:lncRNA from 1 species
UUCCCUAUAUAUAGCUCUCUCAUUUGAUCCUUUUUCAUCACCAAUCACAAUUAAAAACACUUUGGCCACCUUUGCUUCUUAAGACCCCCUCCAUUUCAUUAUUUUUUCCUCCUUCCCAUUUUCUUAGUUUCAACUUUAUUUCUUCAAUUUCCAAUGGCAGCGUUGAGGUAUUUUUAUAGUAAUUUUUUUGCAAUUUUUCUUCCUUUCUUUGUGAAUAAAAACUUAAAACUGAUCAAGAUCAGUUAGUUAGCUUGUUUUACAACUGAUCAGUGCUCUUUUAAGCUAUUGAAGAUAAAUAUUUUACACAAUCUGAUGAAGUGAACAAAUUCUAAUGGUUGAUCAAUAUUCUUUAUAUCUUGAAAAUAUUAUUAGAUCAUUCUUGGACAAAGGUUUUAUAAUGAAAUAUCUUGAGAAGGUCAAUCACAGCUUUUUCAUGACCAUAGUUUGAUAUCAAGAAUUCAAAACAACAUAACUAUUACGACACGUCAACCCCAAGCAAGUUAGGAUCAGCUAUAUGAAUUUUUACUGAUUAUGUCGCUCUAUUUAAGCUCUCUAUAUUUUCUACUACUGGCAUAUAACUCAGUGAUAGCAUAUAAAGAUUCCUAGUAAACAUACUAACAUGAUGGUAACAUAUUCUCAACUAAUUGUUAUCGACUAUAUAGAUCUUUUUCUCAUUUGUUGAAACUUAAAAUUUUGUCUGAAGGUUGAAUCUGCACCAGUAGCAGCAGUAGAGACUACUCCAGCUGAGGUUGAGGUACAAACAACCCCAGAGGAAACCAAAGUGAGGAACCAACCCCAGUUGUAGAAAGUGAAUCCGUCGUCGAAUCAGCAGCAGCACCAGUAGAAGAGCCUGCUCCCGCUGAGGAAGCAACCCCUGCUGCUGAAGAACCCGUGCUGCAGCAGAACCUGCAGCUACAGAAACAAAGGAGCCAGUAACUGAGGAACCAGUUGCGGCUCCUGUUGAAGAGGUAGCAGCCCCAGUCGCCGAGGCUGAACUCGAAGCAGCCCCCGUUGAGGAACCAGAAACAGAGAAAGCUGUCCCUGUAGCAGAGGAAUCAGCUCCAGUAACUGAAGAAGCAGCGGCUGAAGAAACUACAACUGCACCGAGGAACCAGUAGCAGCAGCAGAAUCUGUUGAAGAGAAAGCAGUUCCACUAGAGAAAGCUGAAGAGUAAAUUCUGAAGAAUUUUAGUGAAGAUGGGAAAUAGUUCAAUGGUUGGUGAAUGAUGGGGGUCUUAUUAAAGUUGGUUGUGUUUAUUCUGUUUCUUAGUAUUUUAUUUACUACUAUUAUUACUAAUAUAUUAUUAUGGUUACAGUGAGGGCAUAUGUUAUUUUUAGCAUAUGCCUAGGUCUAGGUGGUCGGGUGGAUACUCCAUAGUUUUUUAAGCUAUGUUUGUUAUCUUGUCCAGGGUUCAGUUUGCUAUGGUUUGAUUAAGAUGAUAUGAGUUUUGAUCUCUAGUUUUUUAUAAUGAAAGGGUCAUAUCUUUUUUGGAUGUUUUUAUUAAUGAGUUAAUGCUUUCAUUUUUCUCUCGAUGUUAGCUAUGUGAUCAUCGAAAAUUGGAUCAAUUACUUAUACAAUCAAGAAGGCUGUUGCAUGCCAACCACAAGGGGAUGAAAAUAACUCAGCUUUAGGUGGCGGGCCAAUCUUUUGUACCCGUUACUCUCUCGUUAUGAAAAAAGCUUGCGAAAAUCACGAACCUGAGUCAAUAAUGUUGCGAUGAAAGUUAGAUCUCAAAAAGUCAGCAAAGCUCUGGUUUCGCAUGUCAUAUAUUUUUGAUCGAGCAAGAACUUGUAAGGAAGGCCGUCGUUUCCCUUUGAAAAAAGAAAAGAGCUGCGGAAGAGAAAAAGUACAUCAGAUUAUAGAUAAUAUAGAAGGGUUCAAUAUGGUGAUUAUAAAGCAUUCCACAAGCAAUAAUUUGACAAGUUGCAGAUGAAAAUGAGAGUCGACAAUUCCUCUAUAUCUUAAUCAAAUCUUCCUCAAAGAUCCAUAACUACCAAAAGAAGCCAUACAUAAGGUCCUACCUUUACAUCAAUUCUUGACAUUUUGAGCCUGAUUGGCGAAACAUCGCUUGAUGUCUCAUUCCCACUAACUUAUCCCUUCUAACACAAAAAUGAUAAUGUAUAUUUGCGCAACACAAAAGUUGACAACAGUUACAGAAUGACAAGGCGCAAAUUAAUGAAAAUGGAAGGUUUCCUAGUGCACAAAUUUUCCAAUCAAGACGCUGAUUAAUCGAGUGAAGUUCAGAAGGAAUACAGUUCUGAAGCUGUGAGGUAUCGCAUACAAUGAUAUUCAGACGUAGCAUAAGUGAAAUACAAGUUUACAACUCUCAGUAGUUUUUGUUCUGAAAUUUAAGAGAGUUACAUUACAUGCCUGAAUCAAAAAGGGCAAUGUUCAAUAACUACAUCAUAAAAGUUAAAAAAAAAUGUGAAGCACAUCAGGCUGUAUAAAUACAUACAUAUAGUCAAAAUGUUUUACAGAUACGAACACCUUAAAACAAUUAAAAAGGAGUGAGGGGUGAGACUUACCACGCAGAAAAAAAUUAGAAGACUUACCAUGCUACGGUUG